GCAUGCAAACCUGAAGUUACAGCAUCAGUAAUGGGCGUGUUCAUUGUUCUUCAGAGAAGUUACUGUGUUUGUCUAAAGACUAAGAAGAAAGACGUACCUUUCCAACAUGGCAAAGCCGAGCAGAAGCAAAGCGGAGUUUAUCAGAUUGGCCGCCAGCUUCCAGCUGAGAUGGAAUUUCCUCCUCGCGGCCGGUGAGCAAAGCUAUGACCCUCUGGCACAGAGACAGCUUCGGAAAUCUCCCCUGGCUUUUGAAUUGUGCGUUUUCAGACAUCGUGAGCAGAGCAGGAAGCAUCCUCUUUUUCUCCAUCUCCCGACUGAGCUGGACCAAGAAAUGGGUUCUUCGGGGGCACCCGGAUUUAACCUUCAGGAAUAAGACUUGAUAAAGUCCCCACUGCGUGCAGAUGGUGGAAAGAGUAAAGCAGCGUCCGUUUUGCCAACUUUCUGGUCCAGUAGAGGGUCUUUCUGGGCCCAGGGGGUCCCAUCUGUCACAGCUGUGGUACAGACACAGCACAGGAGAGUCGCGGGGAGGAACAGUCACCACUGAGCCCCCCAGCCCCACGGAGGGGAUCAGUCGUUUCAGCAGAUGUCGUGCGUCCCUGCAAAGUCCCAAGCACCUUCCUGGGCACUGGACACACAGCCGUGGACAGACAGACAGACAGAGCCUGCAGCCCACAAACUCACACACCUAUCAGGGCAAGGAAUCCCUGCCCCAGGGCUGCCAGAUGCCCUUGCAGCGGGUACACAGGACAGGAAGAGUAGACAAGCCCUGUUCUAGACCGUUCUGCAAACACUGGGGCCCUUUGGAGGGUUGUGGCUGUACACAGCCAUAUAUGUGACCCCCAUUCGUCAUGAGGCUAUCCCCGCAGAUGAAGGUCAGCGCAGAGUUCGUGUGCAGCCACAGGAGGAAAGCCAGCUCUGUGGUUAGUGCUGUCGACUGAAAUAAUGCACAGCCUGAAAGUUGAGAGUUGUGUUUUAUUCGGUGGACAAACCCGAGGACUAAGGUCCGGGACACAGCAUCUCAGAUCACUCCGAGGGACGGCUCCGAAGAGGCCAGGUGGGGGCCGGGGUAGAUAGGAGCCGUUUUUGCAACAAAGACCAGGUAGUAGGAACAUCAAAAGAUGACUGUUAAUUAAAGAAAACCGGACAUCUCGAGGUAAAGAGUUUAGCGCUUUUCUACGUAUGGGAAGACGCAAGAGUCUGAGCUCUCUGGCAUCGUUCCUUUGAUGUGCUCCUCGGCUAUCUGGGGCCAGUAUCCUGCGUUUUCUCCUCCCGAGUCUCCUCAGGGUGCACGGCUGGGGGCGGCUGCAGCAGCUCAUUGCUAGAUGGGGGGCCUCCCGCCCGGAUCCUGAGCUCCCUCAGGGCUCACGGUC